rnacentral:rRNA from 1 species
GAUGAACGCUGGCGGCGUGCCUAAUACAUGCAAGUCGAGCGAAGCGGGGACGGGUGAGUAACACGUGGAUAACCUCCUAUAAGACUGGGAUAACUUCGGGAAACCGUAGCUAAACCGGCUACUUUUAGAUGGAUCCGCGCUGCAUUAGCUAGUUGGUAAGGUAACGGCUUACCAAGGCAACGAUGCCUAGCCGACCUGCGAGGAGGAGCGGCCAGACUGGGACUGAGACACGGGCCAGACUCCUACGGGAGGCAGCAGUGGGGAAUCUGUCGCAAUGGGCGAAAGCCUGACGGAGCAACGCCGCGUGAGUGAUGAAGGUCUUCGGAUCGUAAAACUCUGUUAUUAGGGAAGCGGUACCUAAUCAGAAAGCCACGGCUAACUACGUGCCAGCAGCCGCGGUAAUAC